GAUGAACGCUGGCGGCGUGCCUAAUACAUGCAAGUCGAGCGCAGGAAGCCGUCUGAACCCUUCGGGGGGACGACGGUGGAAUGAGCGGCGGACGGGUGAGUAACACGUAAAGAACCUGCCCACGGGUCUGGGAUAACCACGAGAAAUCGGGGCUAAUACCGGACGGGUCAUCGGACCGCAUGGUCCGAGGAUGAAAGGCGCUCCGGCGUCGCCCGUGGAUGGCUUUGCGGUGCAUUAGCUAGUUGGUGGGGUAACGGCCCACCAAGGCGACGAUGCAUAGCCGACCUGAGAGGGUGAUCGGCCACACUGGGACUGAGACACGGCCCAGACUCCUACGGGAGGCAGCAGUAGGGAAUCUUCCACAAUGGACGAAAGUCUGAUGGAGCAACGCCGUGUGAACGAUGAAGGCUUUCGGGUCGUAAAGUUCUGUUGUAAGGGAAGAACAAGUGCCGCAGGCAAUGGCGGCACCUUGACGGUACCUUGCGAGAAAGCCACGGCUAACUACGUGCCAGCAGCCGCAGUAA
rnacentral:rRNA from 1 species